AUUGAACGCUGGCGGUAGGCCUAACACAUGCAAGUCGAACGAGUGGCGGACGGGUGAGAAAUGUCUGGGAAACUGCCUGAUGGAGGGGGAUAACAACUGGAAACGGUAGCUAACACCGCACACCAUCGGAUGUGGCCAGAUGGGAGUAGCUAGUGGGUGGGGUAAAGGCACACCGAGGCGACGAUCCCUAGCUGGUCUGAGAGGAUGACCAGCCACACUGGAACUGGGACACGGUCCAGACUCCUACGGGAGGCAGCAGUGGGGAAUAUUGGACAAUGGGCGCAAGUCUGAUGCAGCCAUGCCGCGUGUAUGAAGAAGGCCUUCGGGUUGUAAAGUACUUUCAGCGGGGAGGCGGUACCCGCAGAAGAAGCACCGGCUAACUACGUGCCAGCAGCCGCGGUAAUUC
rnacentral:rRNA from 1 species